UAUUUUCCAUAGUACUUCUUUCAUCUUCUCUGUACUUUGACAAUGAAAAUUCAAGAGUAGAUUUUUCUUCCUUUUGCUCAAUCAAACAUUGUUUGCUCAUCUUCAUAAGGUCAGCUGAUGUUGGUGAAUUUGUGCUGUUUUUCUGCGAUCUCGAUUGGUGAAGUUGAGAAAAUUUGGAACAUUGGUGAAUGGGUGGGGAAUUUGUGUGAAGUUUUGUAGAGGUUUUUGGGUGUGUGAAAAGUGAAAAAUCUUUGAAAUUUUAGUUUUUUUUUUGUUGGAUUGGAGUAUUUAUUUGAAUGAUUUCUGGUUGGAGUAGAGAUGGAAGGAAGGGAAUAGGUUUAGGGUUUGAUGGUGGAGUAGAAAUGAUGGAGGAAACUGAGCUUGAAGAAGGAGAGGCUUACAAUUAUGAUAAUUAUAAGAAGAAUGAUUCAACCAUUGACCCUGAUGUUUCUCUAUCUUACCUUGGUUGAGAUUUGGCGGAUAUGGUUCAUUUUUACCUACUUAUCAGAUUUCUCCUUCUUGGUCUCAUCUGAGGACUCCACAAGAGGCCAACAAAAAUAGCAGACAAGUAUCACCAAACAAUAUGCUCCCUGAGGGUAGUCGACAAACCACGUUAGGAUCUUCAAGCACUUCUCUGUCAGGAAGGUUUGCAGCAUCUUCUGCCCGUUCAGCAACAGCAUCUGCACUUAUCCCCCCUCUCAGACGAGUUGAUUAGCUCGUAAGUGUGUCUUAAGAUUAUGUGUUCUGUGAAAAUACAGCUUCUUGGAUGAAAACUAAGGAUCCCUACCUUUGCAUAUGAAUAAGUUGAACUUUUGGACUUAUGGUGGCAAAAUUGUGAAGAUGUUUGACAUCUUCUUCUUCUUCUUCUUUUUUUGAAUCUUAUUUCAAUGUAGUAACAACUUUUUAAUGUUAUAUUUGAAAAAUAAGAAGAAUAGGAAGAAAUAAUGUUUUAGCAAAGAAAUCUUUUUUUUUGAUGUUUUACCAAAGAACCUUGUUGCAAAGAAAGUAUAUAAAGAAAUAAAGUGUAAAGGGUAUUUUUGUAAA